UGGGGAAUAUUGCACAAUGGGCGAAAGCCUGAUGCAGCGACGCCGCGUGGAGGAAGAAGGCCUUCGGGUUGUAAACUUCUUUUGUAAGGGAAAAUAGUGAUGGUACCUUAUGAAUAAGCCACGGCUAACUCUGUGCCAGCAGCCGCGGUAAGACAGAGGUGGCGAGCGUUGUUCGGAAUUACUGGGCUUAAAGGGCGCGUAGGUGGUGAUACAAGUCUGAGGUGGAAUUCUGCAGCUUAACUGUAGGACUGCCUUGGAAACUGUAUUACUUGAGUCGGACAGGGGAAGGCGGAAUUCCUGGUGUAGCGGUGAAAUGCGUAGAUAUCAGGAGGAAGGCCUGUGGCGAAGGCGGCCUUCUGGGGCUUGACUGACACUGAGGCGCGAAAGCGUGGGGAGCAAA
rnacentral:rRNA from 1 species